rnacentral:rRNA from 1 species
GACGAACGCUGGCGGCGUGCUUAACACAUGCAAGUCGAGCGGUAAGGCCUUUCGGGGUACACGAGCGGCGAACGGGUGAGUAACACGUGGGUGAUCUGCCCUGCACUUCGGGAUAAGCCUGGGAAACUUGGUCUAAUACCGGAUAUGACCUCCUAUCGCAUGGUGGGUGGUGGGAAGAUUUAUCGGUGCAGGAUGGGCCCGCGGCCUAUCAGCUUGUUGGUGGGGUAAUGGCCUACCAAGGCGACGACGGGUAGCCGACCUGAGAGGGUGACCGGCCACACUGGGACUGAGACACGGCCCAGACUCCUACGGGAGGCAGCAGUGGGGAAUAUUGCACAAUGGGCGAAAGCCUGAUGCAGCGACGCCGCGUGAGGGAUGACGGCCUUCGGGUUGUAAACCUCUUUCAGCAGGGACGAAGCGCAAGUGACGGUACCUGCAGAAGAAGCACCGGCUAACUACGUG